UCUUUCCGGGCCCGCCCCUCUACCCUUAAAUGGACUGUGGCUCCGGGUCAAUGUCCGCGUCCGAGUUUGGGCCCAGUUUGGUUUAGAACUCAGGAUUUAAAGGGACACUUCUGGUGUAAAUGCUCUUCUGCAGCAUGAACUGAUGCCUGGACUUCGAUGGUGAUCGUAGCUUGUGUCAAGCUGACCAAAACAAAACAAAACAAAACAAACCUGACCAGCUCAAGACUGGAAGAGAUAACUGGUCUUUUUCUAGGCACUGAAGACACAAGGGAUGAACAAGCAAACAAGACCCCUCUGGUGCUGAAUGGAGGGCAGCAGAAAACAAGCACCCAGAAGUGGCUUUCCAAGAGACCAGUGUGAACCGGGUGACCGGCCUGGGGCCGUCUUAGUGGUGAUAUUUAGACAGAGGAAUUGCUGCUAAUUAGUUGAUAAAGGCUGAAGCAUGAAACUGAAGGACAGUGCUGCACACUAGGGCAACUGAAAACACAAAACAGCGUCAAGGCUGGAGACAUAGGUCCCCUGGCAGAAUGCUCGCCUGGCACUCACAGAGUCGAGUUCAGCCCCCAGUAUCACAUAAACCAGUUCUGGCAGCUCAUGCCUGUAAUCCCAACAUUUCUGAGGUAGAGACGGGAAGUUUAAGGUCAUCCUUGCCUACCCAUUCAGUUUGAAGCUAGCCUGGGCUACACAAGACUCUAUCAAAAAAAAAAAAAAAAAAGAAAGAAAGAAAAAAGAAAAGAAAAGAAACAAAAGGGCUAGAGAUAUGGCUUAGCUGGGUUAAGAGUGCUUGCCACUCUUCCAGAAAACUGGAGCACCCAUGUCAAGCAGCACCCAUGUCAUACAACAUCCAAGUCAAGCAGCACCCACGUCAUGCAACACCCAUGCCAUGCAGAUAGUAAUCACGCCUCCUGGGGAUCUGAUGCCUCUGACCUCUUCCUGCCUCUGCACUCUCGUGCACAUAGCCACACAGAGAUACAGACACAUACACAUAAUAUUUAAAAAAAAAAAGCCAGGCAUUGGUGGCGCACACCUUUAAUCCCAGCACUCGGGAGGCAGAGGCAGGUGGAUCCCUGUGAUUUUUAGGUCAGCCUGGUCUACAGAGCCAGUUCAAAGUCCUCUGGAUAGAUCAUCCCACCCGCCAUGUUUCACAAUGUUUACUAUGAAUACUGAUUCUGUUUUAGGAAUCCACAGUGCUGUUUUCACACUUAGAUGGAUAAAUCAUUCCCCCCCCUUG